AUAACAUUGUUGUGACAAAACACAGUUUAAUGAAUAAUUAAAGUAAAGAAACUUGUCAAUAAGCUUUAAAAAACAUUUAAAAAAAAAAAAUGCUGCUUUGCUACACCCAAACCAUCUUUUUAAAUUACCUUUGUUAAGAGGCAUCUAUUGGUGACUCAGGUCAGUGGUCAUGUCUAUAAAGCAAAUUCUACUUUAAUGGCCAAAAAAAUAAAAACAAGAAAUUAAAAGAGUGGGGGAGGUCAUUUGCAACAUCUUAUAGGUGUGGGCAAAUACAUAUUUUCUAAAAAAUAUAUUUGUAGGGAAGACCACACUAAGUCACAGCCUAAUCAUUUAAGGAGUUUGUGCCACAAACCUAAUAGAAUAUUUCAAGCUUAACCAUUUACUCUAAAGAAAGAGGAUGUAACUGCAAACUUAAUUAGAUAAUUUCCCAUUGUCAAAAUUUCACUGAAAACUUAACAAAGUAAUAAGUAACAGCCAUCAUUAUUUCAUUGUAGCCAAGACUCAUUUGAUUAAAUAU